rnacentral:rRNA from 1 species
GUGCCAGCCGCCGCGGUAAUACGUAGGUGGCGAGCGUUGUCCGGAAUUACUGGGCGUAAAGGGCGCGUAGGCGGUCUACUAAGUCAGAUGUGAAACCCCUAGGCUCAACCUGGGGCUUGCAUAUGAAACUGGUAGGCUAGAGUGUCGGAGAGGGAAGCGGAAUUCCUAGUGUAGCGGUGAAAUGCGUAGAUAUUAGGAGGAACACCAGUGGCGAAGGCGGCUUUCUGGACGAUAACUGACGCUGAGGCGCGAAAGCGUGGGGAGCAAACAGGAUUAGAUACCCUGGUAGUCCACGCUGUAAACGAUGGAUACUAGGUGUGGGAGGUAUCGACCCCUUCCGUGCCGCAGUAAACGCAAUAAGUAUCCCGCCUGGGGAGUACGGCCGCAAGGCUGAAACUUAAAGAAAUUGACGG